rnacentral:rRNA from 1 species
CUUUGACGUAACAAAAGUAGAUCAAGAAAAUUAAUCAAUCAACGCAUCGUGAAGAAAAUAGCUGGAGGAAGGUUGGUUUUCUUGACCACCGCAUGUGAUAAAUAAUAUUUUUAUUUUUUCUGGGCGCCGGCCCGCCCCCACCUCCUCCCUCACUCCCGGCGCCGCCCGACCCCCAACCUCCCUGGAUCCGCGUGCAUCGACGCCGGCUUCGCAGCGGCGCUUGAUGUGGAGUGCGGCGGAGUAGAGGAGCGGGCCUUCUUCCUCACCUCACAGCACUAUCCUCCUCCAUGACCACGCAGCCGCAGCGGCAGAGAACCCGAAUCCCUAGCCAGCAAGCUCAGGCAGCCAUGGAUCCAUGGAUGCUGGCCACCGGAAUCUCUCGUCACUUCACAUCUUGCAUCGCGCAGACAGGGGGCAUCAGCCUGCAGCGAGAGGAUCGGCAACAUCCGCGCGGCCGCGGCGUCGUGCCGGCCCACUGCUCGCAAAGGACAGGAGCCCAUGCACGGCUGCACAUGCACAGAAGCAGGCAAACUGUUUGGCCUGCCCAGGUUUUUCUUUCAAGCUCUGCCACUGCCGAAGACCACGGUGGGAGAAGUUUUACAGGAGCCUCGUCACCAACAGCGUCUGCAACGUCUCGGAGGGGACAAGAAUAUCGCCUGACAUUUUUCUCAAUGGAUGGCUACUGACUAAAUUCAGAUAUAUGGAGUUCCAGAAUCAGUUCUGCAACUUCUUUUUUGCGGGAAUCAGUUCUGCAACUUGAGCAAGAUGCUCUUGUUUAGUGGGACGCUAUGCAGGUUGUGGUGAAUGGUGCCGCUGCUGCAGCUCAUUGGUUCUAGCCCGACAUUCAGCUCUGAAUGGACGUGUGUCAGGGACAGGAUGAUCACAAUCCAGGUUUUGACACGGAGGUCAGGACCAAGCUUUAGGCAGAAAAGUGGGACAAUCUUCAGUAAGCUACAAUGUUCAUGUCUUCUUAUAUCAUUUGACUGAUGUGUUCUUGUAUCAUUCUUCUACUUUCGGAGCUAUUACUGUGAUCGUUUUGACCUCAUGUCUUCUUAUAUCAUUUGACCUUAUCUAGAUAUUAGUGGUUCUUAAUCCAGCAAGGUCUUGAAUAUUUUUCGCUUUGUCCAUUCAAAAUUUUGUUUGUCUAGCAACGUUCAUGAAUUAAGCUUUGAUUCGAAAAACAACUUUCAUUGUUAUAGGAGAGACAAAGAGCAACAACAAGCCACUGUAGAUAUUGUGUAGUAGCAACAUUAAUGAUCUGCUAAUGUUAUAGGUUUUUUUUCUUCUUUCCUUAAUAUUUACAUGACCAAUGUGUAUUUUUAAUGAUCAAACAUGCACAUGUCACAUUAAGAGGUUGAGAGUAGCUCAAAAGAUAUGCAUACAUCCUCUACCUUUUACCUAAUGAAAUAUUUCUAAAACCAUAGUAGAUGUCAGGUGUAAAUUCCUUGAAGAACUGUUGGUUUUUGUAAUUAUUUCGUGAAACUUUCAAUGUAGGGUUCUAGGAUUGGUGAAUAAGCAGGGUUGUUUUCUUUCUUUAGUAUCUGCAUGAUCAAGUCGGUCUGUACUUUUAAUGAUCAUACCUGCACAUGUCACAUUAAGAUUGAAUAUAUUGUGACUUUUC